rnacentral:rRNA from 1 species
UAGUCAUAUGCUUGUCUCAAAGAUUAAGCCAUGCAUGUCUAAGUAUAAGCAAUCUUAUACAGCGAAACUGCGAAUGGCUCAUUAAAUCAGUUAUAGUCUACUUGAUCGUAUCUUCUUACAUGGAUAACCGUAGUAAAUCUAGAGCUAAUACAUGCUAAAAAUCCUGGACGCGGCAACGCGGAAGGGACGAGUUUAUUAGAUUAAAAACCGACACCUCUCCGCGAGGGGAGGUAGCACAGGUGAUUCACAGUAACCGAUCGGAUCGUCGGCCCCGCCGACGACGAUGCAUACGAGUUUCUGCCCUAUCAACUUUAGAUGGUAGAGUAUCGGUCUACCAUGGUCGUAACGGGUGACGGGGGAUUAGGGUUCGAUUCCGGAGAGGGAGCCUGAGAAACGGCUACCACUUCCAAGGAAGGCAGCAGGCGCGCAAAUUACCCAAUCCCGACACGGGGAGGUAGUGACAAGAAAUACCAUUGUAAUGUCUCCUCGAGAGGCUUACGAUUGGAAUGAGUACAAUUUAAAUCCCUUAACGAGUAACGAUU